rnacentral:rRNA from 1 species
CGGUUAAGUUAGAAAGGGCGCACGGUGGAUGCCUUGGCACUAGGAGCCGAUGAAGGACGGGACGAACACCGAUAUGCUUCGGGGAGCUGUAAGCAAGCUUUGAUCCGGAGAUUUCCGAAUGGGGAAACCCACCACUCGUAAUGGAGUGGUAUCCAUAUCUGAAUACAUAGGAUAUGAGAAGGCAGACCCGGGGAACUGAAACAUCUAAGUACCCGGAGGAAGAGAAAGCAAAUGCGAUUCCCUGAGUAGCGGCGAGCGAAACGGGACCAGCCCAAACCAAGAGGCUUGCCUCUUGGGGUUGUAGGACACUCUGUACGGAGUUACAAAGGGACGAGGUAGAUGAAGAGGUCUGGAAAGGCCCGCCAUAGGAGGUAACAGCCCUGUAGUCAAAACUUCGUUCUCUCCUGAGUGGAUCCUGAGUACGGCGGAACACGUGAAAUUCCGUCGGAAUCCGGGAGGACCAUCUCCCAAGGCUAAAUACUCCCUAGUGACCGAUAGUGAACCAGUACCGUGAGGGAAAGGUGAAAAGCACCCCGGAAGGGGAGUGAAAGAGAUCCUGAAACCGUGUGCCUACAAGUAGUCAGAGCCCGUUAACGGGUGAUGGCGUGCCUUUUGUAGAAUGAACCGGCGAGUUACGAUCCCGUGCAAGGUUAAGCAGAAGAUGCGGAGCCGCAGCGAAAGCAAGUCUGAAUAGGGCGAAUUGAGUACGUGGUCGUAGACCCGAAACCAGGUGAUCUACCCAUGUCCAGGGUGAAGUUCAGGUAACACUGAAUGGAGGCCCGAACCCACGCACGUUGAAAAGUGCGGGGAUGAGGUGUGGGUAGGGGUGAAAUGCCAAUCGAACCUGGAGAUAGCUGGUUCUCUCCGAAAUAGCUUUAGGGCUAGCCUCAAGGUAAGAGUCUCGGAGGUAGAGCACUGAUUGGACUAGGGGCCCCUACCGGGUUACCGAAUUCAGUCAAACUCCGAAUGCCGAUGACUUAUCCUUGGGAGUCAGACUGCGAGUGAUAAGAUCCGUAGUCGAAAGGGAAACAGCCCAGACCGCCAGCUAAGGUCCCAAAGUAUACGUUAAGUGGAAAAGGAUGUGGAGUUGCUUAGACAACCAGGAUGUUGGCUUAGAAGCAGCCACCAUUUAAAGAGUGCGUAAUAGCUCACUGGUCGAGUGACUCUGCGCCGAAAAUGUACCGGGGCUAAACGUAUCACCGAAGCUGCGGACUGUUCUUCGAACAGUGGUAGGAGAGCGUUCUAAGGGCUGUGAAGCAAGACCGGAAGGACUUGUGGAGCGCUUAGAAGUGAGAAUGCCGGUAUGAGUAGCGAAAGAGGGGUGAGAAUCCCCUCCACCGAAUGCCUAAGGUUUCCUGAGGAAGGCUCGUCCGCUCAGGGUUAGUCGGGACCUAAGCCGAGGCCGAAAGGCGUAGGCGAUGGAUAACAGGUUGAUAUUCCUGUACCACCUCCUCACCAUUUGAGCAAUGGGGGGACGCAGGAGGAUAGGGUAAGCGCGGUAUUGGAUAUCCGCGUCCAAGCAGUUAGGCUGGGAAAUAGGCAAAUCCGUUUCCCGUGAAGGCUGAGCUGUGAUGGCGAGCGAAUUAUAGUAGCGAAGUUCCUGAUUCCACACUGCCAAGAAAAGCCUCUAGCGAGGUGAGAGGUGCCCGUACCGCAAACCGACACAGGUAGGCGAGGAGAGAAUCCUAAGGUGAUCGAGAGAACUCUCGUUAAGGAACUCGGCAAAAUGACCCCGUAACUUCGGGAGAAGGGGUGCUCUGUUAGGGUGCAAGCCCGAGAGAGCCGCAGUGAAUAGGCCCAGGCGACUGUUUAGCAAAAACACAGGUCUCUGCGAAGCCGUAAGGCGAAGUAUAGGGGCUGACGCCUGCCCGGUGCUGGAAGGUUAAGAGGAGCGCUUAGCGUAAGCGAAGGUGCGAAUUGAAGCCCCAGUAAACGGCGGCCGUAACUAUAACGGUCCUAAGGUAGCGAAAUUCCUUGUCGGGUAAGUUCCGACCCGCACGAAAGGCGCAACGAUCUGGGCACUGUCUCAACGAGAGACUCGGUGAAAUUAUAGUACCUGUGAAGAUGCAGGUUACCCGCGACAGGACGGAAAGACCCCGUGGAGCUUUACUGCAGCCUGAUAUUGAAUGUUGGUACAGCUUGUACAGGAUAGGUAGGAGCCUUGGAAACCGGAGCGCCAGCUUCGGUGGAGGCAUCGGUGGGAUACUACCCUGGCUGUAUUGACCUUCUAACCCGCCGCCCUUAUCGGGCGGGGAGACAGUGUCAGGUGGGCAGUUUGACUGGGGCGGUCGCCUCCUAAAAGGUAACGGAGGCGCCCAAAGGUUCCCUCAGAAUGGUUGGAAAUCAUUCGCAGAGUGUAAAGGCACAAGGGGGCUUGACUGCGAGACCUACAAGUCGAGCAGGGACGAAAGUCGGGCUUAGUGAUCCGGUGGUUCCGCAUGGAAGGGCCAUCGCUCAACGGAUAAAAGCUACCCCGGGGAUAACAGGCUUAUCUCCCCCAAGAGUCCACAUCGACGGGGAGGUUUGGCACCUCGAUGUCGGCUCAUCGCAUCCUGGGGCUGUAGUCGGUCCCAAGGGUUGGGCUGUUCGCCCAUUAAAGCGGUACGCGAGCUGGGUUCAGAACGUCGUGAGACAGUUCGGUCCCUAUCCGUCGCGGGCGCAGGAAAUUUGAGAGGAGCUGUCCUUAGUACGAGAGGACCGGGAUGGACGCACCGCUGGUGUACCAGUUGUUCUGCCAAGGGCAUCGCUGGGUAGCUAUGUGCGGACGGGAUAAGUGCUGAAAGCAUCUAAGCAUGAAGCCCCCCUCAAGAUGAGAUUUCCCAUUCCGCAAGGAAGUAAGAUCCCUGAAAGAUGAUCAGGUUGAUAGGUCUGAGGUGGAAGUGUGGCGACACAUGGAGCUGACAGAUACUAAUCGAUCGAGGACUUAACCAAUUU